rnacentral:rRNA from 1 species
ACGGGAGGCAGCAGUGGGGAAUUUUGGACAAUGGGGGCAACCCUGAUCCAGCCAUGCCGCGUGAGUGAAGAAGGCCUUCGGGUUGUAAAGCUCUUUCGGACGGAAAGAAAUCGGGUGGGCUAAUACCCUGCCUGGAUGACGGUACCGUAAGAAGAAGCACCGGCUAACUACGUGCCAGCAGCCGCGGUAAUACGUAGGGUGCGAGCGUUAAUCGGAAUUACUGGGCGUAAAGCGUGCGCAGGCGGUUGUGUAAGACAGGUGUGAAAUCCCCGGGCUUAACCUGGGAAUGGCGCUUGUGACUGCACGACUCGAGUGCGGCAGAGGGGGGUGGAAUUCCACGUGUAGCAGUGAAAUGCGUAGAGAUGUGGAGGAACACCGAUGGCGAAGGCAGCCCCCUGGGUCGACACUGACGCUCAUGCACGAAAGCGUGGGGAGCAAACAGGAUUAGAUACCCUGGUA